rnacentral:rRNA from 1 species
UACGGAGGGGGCUAGCGUUGUUCGGAAUUACUGGGCGUAAAGCGCACGUAGGCGGCUUUGUAAGUUAGGGGUGAAAGCCCGGAGCUCAACUCCGGAACUGCCCUUAAGACUGCAUCGCUUGAAUCAUGGAGAGGUUAGUGGAAUUCCGAGUGUAGAGGUGAAAUUCGUAGAUAUUCGGAAGAACACCAGUGGCGAAGGCGACUAACUGGACAUGUAUUGACGCUGAGGUGCGAAAGCGUGGGGAGCAAACAGGAUUAGAUACCCUAGUAGUCC